rnacentral:rRNA from 1 species
AGCGAACGCUGGCGGCGUGCCUAACACAUGCAAGUCGAACGUGAAAGGGAGCAAUCCCAAGUAAAGUGGCGUACGGGUGAGUAACACGUAGGUAAUCUACCCCAGAAUCUGGAAUAACCGGCCGAAAGGCUGGCUAAUACUGGAUAGAGCGACGGAAUCCGUAAUUGGGUUUUUCGGGAAAGGGAGCCUGUAAAAAGGCCUUCGUUCUGGGAUGAGCCUGCGUCCCAUCAGCUAGUUGGUGAGGUAAAAGCUUACCAAGGCAAUGACGGGUAGCUGGUCUGAGAGGACGAUCAGCCACACUGGAACUGAAACACGGUCCAGACUCCUACGGGAGGCAGCAGUGGGGAAUCUUGCGCAAUGGAAGAAAGUCUGACGCAGCAACGCCGCGGGAGUGAAGAAGGACUUCGGGUUGUAAAGCUCUGUCGAGUGGGACGAAAAUGCUUGGAGUUCACAGCUCCAGGAACUGACGGUACCACUAAAGGAAGCACCGGCUAGCUCCGUG